rnacentral:rRNA from 1 species
GAUGAACGCUGGCGGCGUGCCUAAUACAUGCAAGUCGAGCGAACAGACGAGGAGCUUGCUCUUCUGACGUUAGCGGCGGACGGGUGAGUCACACGUGGAUAACCUACCUAUAAGACUGGGAUAACUUCGGGAAACCGGAGCUAAUACCGGAUAAUAUAUUGAAGCGCAUGGUUCAAUAGUGAAAGACGGUUUUGCUGUCACUUAUCGAUGGAUCCGCGCCGCAUUAGCUAGUUGGUAAGGUAACGGCUUACCAAGGCAACGAUGCGUAGCCGACCUGAGAGGGUGAUCGGCCACACUGGAACUGAGACACGGUCCAGACUCCUACGGGAGGCAGCAGUAGGGAAUCUUCCGCAAUGGGCGAAAGCCUGACGGAGCAACGCCGCGUGAGUGAUGAAGGUCUUCGGAUCGUAAAACUCUGUUAUUAGGGAAGAACAAAUGUGUAAGUAACUAUGCACGUCUUGACGGUACCUAAUCAGAAAGCCACGGCUAACUACGUG